ACUCCUGCGGGAGGCAGCAGUGGGGAAUAUUGCACAAUGGGCGCAAGCCUGAUGCAGCCAUGCCGCGUGUGUGAAGAAGGCCUUCGGGUUGUAAAGCACUUUCAGCGGGGAGGAAGGCGAUACGGUUAAUAACCGUGUUGAUUGACGUUACCCGCAGAAGAAGCACCGGCUAACUCCGUGCCAGCAGCCGCGGUAAUACGGAGGGUGCAAGCGUUAAUCGGAAUUACUGGGCGUAAAGCGCACGCAGGCGGUCUGUCAAGUCGGAUGUGAAAUCCCCGGGCUCAACCUGGGAACUGCAUUCGAAACUGGCAGGCUUGAGUCUUGUAGAGGGGGGUAGAAUUCCAGGUGUAGCGGUGAAAUGCGUAGAGAUCUGGAGGAAUACCGGUGGCGAAGGCGGCCCCCUGGACAAAGACUGACGCUCAGGUGCGAAAGCGUGGGGAGCAAACAGGAUUAGAUACCCCUGUAGUCCCA
rnacentral:rRNA from 1 species